AAUGAACGUUGGCGGCGUGGAUUAGGCAUGCAAGUCGUGCGGGCGUAGCAAUACGUCAGCGGCGAAAGGGAGAGUAAUACGUGGAUACCAACCCCUGGGUCGGGGAUAGCCACGGGAAACUGUGGGUAAUACCCGAUAACGUCUCCGGACCAAAGGUGUGAUUCCGCCUGGGGACGGGUCCGCGUCCUAUUAGCUAGUUGGUAGGGUAAUGGCCUACCAAGGCGAAGAUGGGUACGGGGUGUAAGAGCAUGCCCCCGCUCACUGGGACUGAGACACUGCCCAGACACCUACGGGUGGCUGCAGUCGAGAAUCUUCGGCAAUGGGCGCAAGCCUGACCGAGCGACGCCGCGUGCGGGAUGUAGGCCUUCGGGUUGUAAACCGCUGUCAGUGGGGAGGAAAUGCCGGUGGGUUCUCCCAUCGGUUUGACCUAUCCGCAGAGGAAGUACGGGCUAAGUUCGUGCCAGCAGCCGCCGUAAGAC
rnacentral:rRNA from 1 species